GCGGCGGUGGUGUAAGAUGUAACAUCGCUGCCCGAAAAGCAGAAGGUGAGGGUUAAAGUCCCGCCUGACGCA
rnacentral:tRNA from 1 species